GACGAACGCUGGCGGCGCGCUUAACACAUGCAAGUCGAGCGAGAACCAGCCCUUCGGGGCUGGGGAAAGCGGCGAACGGGUGAGUAACACGUGGGUAAUCUGCCCUCGGCACCGGAAUAGCCCGGGGAAACCCGGAUUAAUGCCGGAUGGCCUCUCCGCCCUUCGGGGCGGUGAGAAAAGGUAGCUUCGGCCUCCGGCCGAGGAUGAGCCCGCGGCCGAUUAGCUUGUUGGUGAGGUAACGGCUCACCAAGGCGACGAUCGGUAGCUGGUCUGAGAGGACGAUCAGCCACACUGGGACUGAGACACGGCCCAGACUCCUACGGGAGGCAGCAGUGGGGAAUCUUGCGCAAUGGGCGAAAGCCUGACGCAGCGACGCCGCGUGCGGGGAGAAGGCCUUCGGGUUGUAAACCGCUUUCAGGAGGGACGAAGCCACUCGGGUUAAUAGCCCAGAGGGUGGCGGUACCUCCAGAAGAAGCCCCGGCUAACUACGUGCCGGCCGCCGCAGUAAGAC
rnacentral:rRNA from 1 species